UGGGGAAUAUUGCACAAUGGGCGCAAGCCUGAUGCAGCCAUGCCGCGUGUAUGAAGAAGGCCUUCGGGUUGUAAAGUACUUUCAGCGGGGAGGAAGGCGAUAAGGUUAAUAACCUUGUCGAUUGACGUUACCCGCAGAAGAAGCACCGGCUAACUCCGUGCCAGCAGCCGCGGUAAUACGGAGGGUGCAAGUGUUAAUCGGAAUUACUGGGCGUAAAGCGCACGCAGGCGGUCUGUCAAGUCGGAUGUGAAAUCCCCGGGCUCAACCUGGGAACUGCAUUCGAAACUGGCAGGCUAGAGUCUUGUAGAGGGGGGUAGAAUUCCAGGUGUAGCGGUGAAAUGCGUAGAGAUCUGGAGGAAUACCGGUGGCGAAGGCGGCCCCCUGGACAAAGACUGACGCUCAGGUGCGAAAGCGUGGGGAGCAAACA
rnacentral:rRNA from 1 species